rnacentral:ncRNA from 2 species
ACCAUUGAACAAGCCGACGGUGCCGCGCUUUCGGGCGCGGCUUUCAAGGGAAUGCCGGAAGGAUGUGCGGGCCUCGUCCCGCCAUAUCCGUGCCGGAGCUGCCCCCGCAACUGUGAGCGGCGAGCUUCCAGCGUGAACCACUGGCCCAUGGCCGGGAAGGAGCUGGCGGCGACGACCCGUGAGCCAGGAGACCUGCCGUCGCCUGCAUUGAUGA